rnacentral:tRNA from 1 species
GUCUGGGUGGCUCAGUUGGUUAAGCAUCCGACUUGUGCUCAGGUCAUGAUCUCACAGAUCGUGGGUUCGAGCCCCACAUCAGACU